rnacentral:rRNA from 1 species
UACGUAGGGUGCAGGCGUUAAUCGGAAUUACUGGGCGUAAAGCGUGCGCAGGCGGUUUUCUAAGUCAGGUGUGAAAUCCCCGGGCUUAACCUGGGAACUGCGCUUGUAACUGGCAAGCUUGAGUGUGGCAGAGGGGGGUGGAAUUCCACGUGUAGCAGUGAAAUGCGUAGAGAUGUGGAGGAACACCGAUGGCGAAGGCAGGCCCCUGGGCUAACACUGACGCUCAUGCACGAAAGCGUGGGGAGCAAACAGG